rnacentral:rRNA from 1 species
UCGGGUUGUAAAGUACUUUCAGCGGGGAGGAAGGGAGUAAASUUAAUACCUUUGCUCAUUGACGUUACCCGCASAAGAASCACCGGCUAACUCCGUGCCAUCMSCCGCGGUAAUACGGAAGGUGCAAGCGUAAUUCGGAAUUACUGGGCGU